GACGAACGCUGGCGGCGUGCUUAACACAUGCAAGUCGAACGAGAAGAGAUGAGAAGCUUGCUUCUUAUUGAUUCGAGUGGCAAACGGGUGAGUAACGCGUAAGCAACCUGCCCUUCAGAUGGGGACAACAGCUGGAAACGGUUGCUAAUACCGAAUACGUUCUUUUUGUCGCAUGGCAGAGGGAAGAAAGGGAGGCUCUUCGGAGCUUUCGCUGAAGGAGGGGCUUGCGUCUGAUUAGCUAGUUGGAGGGUAACGGCCCACCAAGGCGACGAUCAGUAGCCGGUCUGAGAGGAUGAACGGCCACAUUGGGACUGAGACACGGCCCAGACUCCUACGGGAGGCAGCAGUGGGGAAUCUUCCGCAAUGGACGAAAGUCUGACGGAGCAACGCCGCGUGAACGAUGACGGCCU
rnacentral:rRNA from 1 species